rnacentral:misc_RNA from 1 species
GAUGAAGAACGUAGCGAAAUGCGAUAAGUAAUGUGAAUUACAGAAUUCAGUGAAUCAUCGAAUCUUUGAACGCACAUUGCGCCCGCCAGUAUUCUGGCGGGCAUGCCUGUUCGAGCGUCAUUUCAACCAUCAAGCCCCCGGCUUGUGUUGGGGACCUGCGGCUGCCGCAGGCCCUGAAAAGCAGUGGCGGGCUCGCUGUCACACCGAGCGUAGUAGCAUACAUCUCGCUCUGGGCGUGCUGCGGGUUCCGGCCGUUAAACCACCUUCAUAACCCAAGGUUGACCUCGGAUCAGGUAGGAAGACCCGCUGAACUUAAGCAUAUCAAUAAGCGGAGG